UCAGGGGGUAGUUUAAAAAUAUAGAAUAGUAGCUUUGGGAGCUAAUGAUAAAGAUAUUUCUUUCUCUCUGAG
rnacentral:tRNA from 1 species